AACACGUGGGUAACCUGCCCAUAAGACUGGGAUAACUCCGGGAAACCGGGGCUAAUACCGGAUAACAUUUUGAACUGCAUGGUUCGAAAUUGAAAGGCGGCUUCGGCUGUCACUUAUGGAUGGACCCGCGUCGCAUUAGCUAGUUGGUGAGGUAACGGCUCACCAAGGCAACGAUGCGUAGCCGACCUGAGAGGGUGAUCGGCCACACUGGGACUGAGACACGGCCCAGACUCCUACGGGAGGCAGCAGUAGGGAAUCUUCCGCAAUGGACGAAAGUCUGACGGAGCAACGCCGCGUGAGUGAUGAAGGCUUUCGGGUCGUAAAACUCUGUUGUUAGGGAAGAACAAGUGCUAGUUGAAUAAGCUGGCACCUUGACGGUACCUAACCAGAAAGCCACGGCUAACUACGUGCCAGCAGCCGCGGUAAUACGUAGGUGGCAAGCGUUAUCCGGAAUUAUUGGGCGUAAAGCGCGCGCAGGUGGUUUCUUAAGUCUGAUGUGAAAGCCCACGGCUCAACCGUGGAGGGUCAUUGGAAACUGGGAGACUUGAGUGCAGAA
rnacentral:rRNA from 2 species